rnacentral:rRNA from 1 species
AUUGAACGCUGGCGGCAUGCUUUACACAUGCAAGUCGAACGGUAACAGGGAGCUUGCUCCGCUGACGAGUGGCGAACGGGUGAGUAAUGCAUCGGAACGUACCCAGUCGUGGGGGAUAACGUAGCGAAAGUUACGCUAAUACCGCAUACGUCCUGAGGGAGAAAGCGGGGGACCGAAAGGCCUCGCGCGAUUGGAGCGGCCGAUGUCGGAUUAGCUAGUUGGUAGGGUAAAGGCCUACCAAGGCGACGAUCCGUAGCGGGUCUGAGAGGAUGAUCCGCCACACUGGGACUGAGACACGGCCCAGACUCCUACGGGAGGCAGCAGUGGGGAAUUUGGACAAUGGGCGCAAGCCUGAUCCAGCCAUGCCGCGUGAGUGAAGAAGGCCUUCGGGUUGUAAAGCUCUUUCAGGUGGAAAGAAAACGACAUGGGUCAAUACCCUGUGUGGAUGACGGUACCAUCAGAAGAAGCACCGGCUAACUACGUGCCAGCAGCCGCGGUAAAAC